GGAUGGCUUCCCGUUUAAGACUUUGAGUUCUUCGGCUGGGAGGACGUGAGAGUCGUACCUUUCCUUUCACUUCUGCUUGCUUUUUAUGGCUGCUGCGGUGUCACAUGAAGUUCCCGGGCCAGGGACGGAGUCCCAGCCACGGCUCUGGGAGGUCCUGUUGUGGCUCAGCGGAAACGAAUCUGACCAGCCUCCGUGAGGACACGGGUUCAGUCCCUGGCCUCACUCAGUGCGUUGUGGGUUAAGGAUCUGGUGCUGCCCUGAGCUGUGGUGUAGGUCGCACGCAGAUGCGGCUUGGAUCCUGAGGUGCUGUGGCUGUGGUGUAGACCGGCAGCUGCAACUCCUAUGCAACCCCUAGCCUGGGAACCCCCACAUGCCGUGAGGGUGGCCCCGAAUAGCAAAAAAAAAAAAAAAAAAAAAAAGUACUCCUUUCACACCGUUGCCAGUGUGGAGAAGUGCGGGUCCUGACUCCGGGGAACUUGCCGAGCGCCUGCUUUAGUUUCAGUAGAGUUUUCGGGUGGCCCCUCAGAUUCCCACCAACAGCAUCCCGUUACCUGCAGGUGGCGGUAGUUCGGCUGCUGCUUUUUCCUUCUGGAUGCCUUUCCUUCCCCUUCCUCAUUUCUCUGGCCAGACCCUCUAGCCCAGUGUUGGCCAGAAGCGGGAGGACAGACCGCCUCGUCCUGCUCCCAGCCUGAGGGGUGCGCCCGGCUCUCGCUGCUGGGGGAGCUUAGCUGCGGGUCUGAGAGAUGUCCCCUCAAUACCGACGGUGUUGCCUCACUGCUCGCUGGUCGGGUGUCCCGUCACUUCCACGAAUACCAACUGAUUUUAUAAGUGGCACUUAGGUAGCUUUAAAAACCAUUAGAACACAAUUGUAUUAGACCAGCGUCCAACGACUGUGUGUACGUUUGAAAGAAUAAAUUUUAAAAAUGGGUGAAACACCUGGGAGUUCCCAUUGGGCUUAGCAGGUUAAGAACCAGACUAGUGUCCAUGAGGUUGCGUUAACCACUGCGCCACGACGGGAACUCCCCUUUAACUUCUUGAUCAGAGUAAAAGUUUGGAUCCUCAGUCAUUUUCGCAUAUUGUAUUCCAAAGGUUGUGACAUUUGUGACGAUGUUGUGGGGAAAAAAGCACUUUCUUAUUUUAAAUUUAUUUACUGGGUCACAGCCAGAAUCUUAAAAAGCGAAGUAGAACAGGCGUUCCCAUCGUGGCUCAGUGCACACGAAUCUGACUGGUAUAGAGGGGGGCGCAGGCUCAAUCCCGGGCCUCACCUGAUGGGUUGAGGAUCCGGGGUUGCCAUGAGCUGUGGUGUAGGUCACACAUUUGGCUCGGAUCAGGCGUUGCUGUGGCUGUGACAUAGGCUGGCGGCUACAACUCUGCUUCGACCGACCCCUAGUCUAGGAACUUCCAUGUGCCUCGGGUGCAGCCCUGAAAAGACAGAAGAAGAAACGAGAAAAACAGCGGAGUGAGCACCAUGUUGUGAAAUUUUAGGUCGUGGCUGGUGUGGGUGUGUAUUCAAGCUGGGUGGUCAUGCUGUAAGGUGCGUUUUUCUCUUUCAAACAGAAAAGCAAAACUGUUGUAGAUACGUCUUUUGCUCAAGGGACAGACAGGUGUGACAGGUAUGGGAGGUUAUAGGUCCUUUUCCUUGUCAGCAUUUCCUGUUGUCUUUGGCCCCUGAAAGUUCCUGUACCUGAGCCAAUGGACCUUCAAAUUAGAUUCAGGUUGAAAAAUGUGUCUUGACUGUUUCUUGUGUGUGACCAUGUGAAAUCGCCUUAUUUAAAAUGCUGACAACCGGAGGUCCUGUCACGGCUCCUCUGAAACAAAUCUAAGUGGUAUCCGUGAGGACACAGGUUCGAUCCCUGGCCUUGCUCCGUGGGUUAAGGAUCCGGUGUUGCCACCAGCUGUGGUGUGGGUCGCAGACGCGUCUUGGCUCUGAUGUUGCCGUGGCUCUGGGGUGGGCCAGCGGCUGCAGCCCCCAUUCAACCCCCAGCCUGGGAACCUCCAUUUGCCGAGGGGGUGGCCCUAAAAAAAAAAGCUAACAACUAACCCAAAACUUAAAAAGCAAAUUAUAAAAGUAAAAACAAACAGCUUAGGAACUUCUGCGAUACUGGCCAGGUUUCUCAUUUUUUACCUCAUGCGUACUUUGUGAGUCUUCCCGUGAAACAGACCUUACCCACAGCUGCAGAGGGUGAUGCAAAAAUAGUUUAUUAUGACAUCGUUUUUGUAAAGUUAGGUCGUAUUUACAAGUAGAAAUCGGCGACAUCCAUGGGACUCCAGCACGUC
rnacentral:lncRNA from 1 species